CGAAAUGCGAUAAGUAAUGUGAAUUACAGAAUUCAGUGAAUCAUCGAAUCUUUGAACGCACCUUGCGCUCCUUGGUAUUCCGAGGAGCAUGCCUGUUUGAGUGUCAUGGAAUUCUCAACUCUAUUUGCUUUUGUGAAUAGAGCUUGGAUUUGGAGGUUUAUUGCUGGUACUUGUGAUCGGCUCCUCUUGAAUGCAUUAGCUCGAACCUUUGCGGAUCAGCUAUCGGUGUGAUAAUUGUCUACGCCGUUGCAGUGAAGCAUAUCAAUGGGCUCGGCUUCCAAUCGUCCUUUACUGGACAAUGACUUUGACCUUUGACCUCAAAUCAGGUAGGAUUACCCGCUGAACUUAAGC
rnacentral:misc_RNA from 1 species